rnacentral:rRNA from 1 species
UACCAGCACCCCGAGUGGUCGGGACGAUUAUUGGGCCUAAAGCAUCCGUAGCCGGUUUUACAAGUCCUCCGUUAAAUCCAGCUGCUUAACAGAUGGGCUGCGGAGGAUACUAUAAGACUAGGAGGCAGGAGAGGCAAGCGGUACUCAGUGGGUAGGGGUAAAAUCCGUUGAUCCAUUGAGGACCACCAGUGGCGAAGGCGGCUUGCCAGAAUGCGCUCGACGGUGAGGGAUGAAAGCUGGGGGAGCAAACCGG